CUGAGUUGCAAAACUCCCAACCAUUGUGAACAUACCUGUUAUAGUUGCUUCGGCGGGAUUCAUUCCCGCCGACAGCAUGCUAGCUCCUGAAUUAUAGUAGAUUUCUGAGUGACACAUUUAAUGAGUCA
rnacentral:misc_RNA from 1 species